rnacentral:rRNA from 1 species
GUGAGGAAUAUUGCGCAAUGGAGGCAACUCUGACGCAGCCAUGCCGCGUGCAGGAAGAAGGCGCUACGCGUUGUAAACUGCUUUUAACCGGGAAGAAACCCCAGGACGUGUCCUGGGUUGACGGUACCGGAGGAAUAAGCACCGGCUAACUUCGUGCCAGCAGCCGCGGUAAUACGAAGGGUGCAAGCGUUAUCCGGAUUCAUUGGGUUUAAAGGGUGCGUAGGCGGAUCUUUAAGUCAGUGGUGAAAGCCUGCAGCUUAACUGUAGAAUUGCCAUUGAAACUGAAGAUCUUGAAUGCGCUUGAAGUGGGCGGAAUGUGCCGUGUAGCGGUGAAAUGCUUAGAUAUGGCACAGAACACCAAUUGCGAAGGCAGCUCACUAAGGCGAUACUGACGCUGAGGCACGAAAGCGUGGGGAUCGAACAGGAUUAGAAACCCCGGUAGUCC